rnacentral:tRNA from 1 species
GCCGAGGUAGCAAAGUGGUUAUGCGUUAGACUGCAGAUCUGAUGACGGGGGUUCGAAUCCCUCCCUCGGCU